UACGUGGUGUUCCUUCCCUGCUGGAAGUUGCUGGUUUCUCCUACUUCUAUGGGGCCUUCUUGGUAGGGCCCCAGUUCUCAAUGAAUCACUACAUGAAGCUGGUGCAGGGAGAGCUGACUGACAUACCAGGAAAGAUACCAAACAGCAUCAUUCCUGCUCUCAAGCGCCUGAGUCUGGGCCUUUUCUACCUAGUGGGCUACACACUGCUCAGCCCCCACAUCACAGAAGACUAUCUCCUCACUGAAGACUAUGACAACCACCCCUUCUGGUUCCGCUGCAUGUACAUGCUGAUCUGGGGCAAGUUUGUGCUGUACAAAUAUGUCACCUGUUGGCUGGUCACAGAAGGAGUAUGCAUUUUGACGGGCCUGGGCUUCAAUGGCUUUGAAGAAAAGGGCAAGGCAAAGUGGGAUGCCUGUGCCAACAUGAAGGCUGCCAGGCUCAUUCAAGAGAGCCCCACCCUGAGCAAGCUGGCCGCCAUUACUGUCCUCCAGCCCUUCUACUAUUUGGUGCAACAGACCAUCCACUGGCUCUUCAUGGGUUACUCCAUGACUGCCUUCUGCCUCUUCACGUGGGACAAAUGGCUUAAGGUGUAUAAAUCCAUCUAUUUCCUUGGCCACAUCUUCUUCUUGAGCCUACUAUUCAUAUUGCCUUAUAUUCACAAAGCAAUGGUGCCAAGGAAAGAGAAGUUAAAGAAGAUGGAAUAAUCCAUUUCCCUGGUGGCCUAUGCAGGACUGGUGCAGAAACUACUUGUCUCCCUUUUCACAGCACUCCUUUGCCCCAGAGCAGAGAAUGGAAAAGCCAG
rnacentral:sRNA from 1 species